ACACAAUGAGUGAGAAGGACUUUUUUGUAUGACCCCCAUAAAAGACUCCCCGGCUUGAAUGAUAUAAGUAACAAGGGGUGGUGUGCUGCUAGCCUCUCUGACAUUAAGACUUUCUUUCAGUUUGUCUCUUUGCUGUAUAUCAGAGUAAAAAUGUCAGACAACGAAGAGGUGGAAGAAUACGAGGAGCAGGAGGGUAAGUCUUGUCUUUUUGUAAUCUUCUUUUUAUACUUUCUAACUAGAUAAUACUGUUUUGGUUUAAGAGUAGGUCAUAAAUAUUUCCCUUACAGCUACAGUGUGUCAGAGCCAUGAUGUAACCGGCCAUUAGGGAGAAUAUGGAGGUUUACGUAAAGACUACUGUAUAUGGUUGCAUGUUUUCAGCAAGGUUAUUAAAUAAUUGUCAUUACAUGGAAAUUCAACUGGGAAAUAUUUUAAACAGUACUCAAGGAGUUCACAAGACCCCAAUAACACUUUCACAACAUAUUUCAAUACCAGCCAAUCCGGUUUUUGUGCUGUAUACAUUACACCGAAAGACCAUUAUAGAUGAACUGACAGAGUUCUGACAUGUAAGUGUGGUUAUGAGAUAUGGUAAAGCGUCAUUUAGAUUUGUGUAUGUGAAAGCUGAGCUUGUCCUGUCAGUUACUUAAGAUCUGUUGACUUUGCUUGUCAGCUUUCAACAAAUACAUUUUCUACAAAUCACACCUAGAAUUGACACUUCUAGAAGAAAUAGAGCAGAAAGUUCUAGGGUAGAAACAUUAUCAAUAAUCCUUUAUUAUGUUUGACUGUUUCAAGUUUAAGCGUCACUUAUGAAUAGGUCCUUUUUUUAGUUUUUAGCUUCUAUUUGUACAUGAAUCCUCUAGCUGUUUAUUUGUUUAUUAACAUAAUCUGCAUGG